ACGGAAGGCAGCAGUGGGGAAUAUUGCACAAUGGGCGAAAGCCUGAUGUAGCGACGCCGCGUGAGCGAAGAAGUAUUUCGGUAUGUAAAGCUCUAUCAGCAGGGAAGAUAAUGACGGUACCUGACUAAGAAGCACCGGCUAAAUACGUGCCAGCAGCCGCGGUAAUACGUAUGGUGCAAGCGUUAUCCGGAUUUACUGGGUGUAAAGGGAGCGUAGGCGGUUUUACAAGUCUGAUGUGAAAGCCCGGGGCUCAACUCCGGUAUUGCAUUGGAAACUGUAGAACUAGAGUGUCGGAGGGGUAAGUGGAAUUCCUAGUGUAGCGGUGAAAUGCGUAGAUAUUAGGAGGAACACCAGUGGCGAAGGCGGCUUACUGGACGAUUACUGACGCUGAGGCUCGAAAGCGUGGGGAGCAAACAGGAUUAGAUACCCUGGUA
rnacentral:rRNA from 1 species